GCGAGGGUAGCCAAGCCCGGCCAAAGGCGGUGGACUUAAGAUCCACUCCCGCAGGGGUCCGUGGGUUCGAAUCCCAUCCCUCGCA
rfam:Methanoculleus sp. MAB1 isolate Methanoculleus sp MAB1 genome assembly, chromosome: chrI